GACGUAGGGCGCGAGCGUUGUCCGGAUUUAUUGGGCGUAACGAGCUCGUAGGCGGCUUGUCGCGUCGACUGUGAAAUCCCGCGGCUCAACUGCGGGUCUGCAGUCGAUACGGGCAGGCUAGAGUUCGGUAGGGGAGACUGGAAUUCCUGGUGUAGCGGUGAAAUGCGCAGAUAUCAGGAGGAACACCGAUGGCGAAGGCAGGUCUCUGGGCCGAUACUGACGCUGAGGAGCGAAAGCGUGGGGAGCGAACAGG
rnacentral:rRNA from 1 species